rnacentral:rRNA from 1 species
ACGGGAUUGCCUAGUACGGCGAGUGAAGCGGCAACAGCUCAAAUUUGAAAGCUAGCCUUCGGGUUCGCAUUGUAAUUUGUAGAGGAUGCUUUGGGUAAAACGCCAGUCUAAGUUCCUUGGAACAGGACGUCAUAGAGGGUGAGAAUCCCGUAUGUGACUGGAAAUGUUAACCUAUGUAAAGCUCCUUCGACGAGUCGAGUUGUUUGGGAAUGCAGCUCUAAAUGGGAGGUAAAUUUCUUCUAAAGCUAAAUAUUGGCGAGAGACCGAUAGCGCACAAGUAGAGUGAUCGAAAGAUGAAAAGCACUUUGGAAAGAGAGUUAAAAAGCACGUGAAAUUGUUGAAAGGGAAGCGCUUGCAAUCAGACUUGUUUAAACUGUUCGGCCGGUCUUCUGACCGGUUUACUCAGUUUGGACAGGCCAGCAUCAGUUUCGGCGGCCGGAUAAAGGCUCUGGGAAUGUGGCCUCCACUUCGGUGGAGGUGUUAUAGCCCAGUGUGUAAUACGGCCAGCCGGGACUGAGGUCCGCGCUUCGGCUAGGAUGCUGGCGUAAUGGUUGUAAGCGACCCGUCUUGACCA